CACCGGCAGCCGCAGACUGUGUGCUCAGGAUAGGCGCAGGGGCGGCGGCAGUGGGUGAAGAAGAGCCCGCUCCGUGCCCGCUCCCCACCCGAGGCUGGGCCAGUGGUGCAGCCCCCUCUGCGCCGGGCGCGCUGCGAGCGCGGGAGCCGCUGGGAAGGGCGCCUCUGGUGGGAGGUGCGCGGUGCGGCCGGACGUGUGCCGGGGGCGCCGGGGCGACUUUCUCCCUCAGACGCACAUACAUCGGGGGGGUGGGAGUCUCGGCAGUCCCGAGACAAGUCUUGCUGUAACGCUGCCGCACGGGAUGGGCCGGCUGUUGCCAGUAGAUAACAGCGGAGCCCAGACCCCGCGCUGCGGCCUGGGCCGGCUCAGAGGAGCCCCCGGGCCCGGCGGGUGUCGGCGGCACCGAGGCGCGGGCAGUGUGAGGGCCUGCUUUCCCGCCAGCGGCCGUCGCUUAAGAAUCACAUCAAACCAUCUGCAAGUCACCUCCCUUGCCUUUCUGGACCAUCCACAGCAAAGCCUGGGAAGAAUUUCUGCCUGUGAUUCUCAGAGGUACCUAGUGAGUUCCCAGAGCUCAGUUCCUGGUGAAGAUGUGCCAGGCAUCUUCCAGAAGAAUUUAUUGCCUCUAACAAUGUACUGGAGCCGGGAUUCAGAGACUUCCUCUCCUGGAUCACACUGUAAUCCAAGCAUAAAAAAGCAUGAACUUCUGUCAGCUCAGAUUGUCCUCAACCAAAGGACAAAAGCCACAGACUGGGAGCCUUGCUAGAGCUGCAGCUCUGUGAAAUGGCAGUGUGUGACAGAGCCGAAACACCAAAUGCAACCAGCUGUGCUUACACUGGAGCUUGGGAUAGGCUCCUUCAAAGGCAGAGCCAGCAGAGGCUUAGGUAAGAUGUAGCAGCUGUUCUGUGAGGCCAGGAACAGUGUGAAGGGCAAUUUUGGCAGGAUCUGUUCAAAAGCCAUUUAGUUUAGUUUUCUGUCUUUGUUUUUUUUCCUUUGAGGAGUGGGCAGAGAGCCUAGGGUAGUUUUCUGCUGGUUUUGAAAGAUGAACACUGAAGCUCAAGUAGAAGACAAAGAGUGUUUUAAAAAUGGUUAGGUUUUACUGCCUGGUGAUAUUUUUCCCAAGUACAUUUACUGAAGAUUUAUGUAAAAUCUAUCUUUUGUCUACUUAAAAUAUGUCAAAUGGAUGUACAGGGCAAAAUUUAAUGCAUAUGGGUUUUCAUUAUUUUAAAUCAUUUGCAAUAUAAAUGAUUUACUGUGA